rnacentral:rRNA from 1 species
UGGGGAAUAUUGGACAAUGGGCGAAAGCCUGAUCCAGCCAUGCCGCGUGUGUGAAGAAGGUCUUCGGAUUGUAAAGCCCUUUAAGUUGGGAGGAAGGGCAGUAAGCGAAUACCUUGCUGUUUUGACGUUACCGACAGAAUAAGCACCGGCUAACUCUGUGCCAGCAGCCGCGGUAAUACAGAGGGUGCAAGCGUUAAUCGGAAUUACUGGGCGUAAAGCGCGCUUAGGUGGUUCGUUAAGUUGAAUGUGAAAGCCCCGGGCUCAACCUGGGAACUGCAUCCAAAACUGGCGAGCUAGAGUAGGGCAGAGGGUGGUGGAAUUACCUGUGUAGCGGUGAAAUGCGUAGAUAUAGGAAGGAAAACCAGUGGCGAAGGCGACCACCUGGGCUCAUACUGACACUGAGGUGCGAAAGCGUGGGGAGCAAACAGG